ACAGAGGUCCCGAGCGUUGUUCGGAUUCAUUGGGCGUAAAGGGUGUGUAGGAGGUUGGGUAAGUCGGAUGUGAAAUCUCACCGCUUAACGGUGAAAUGGCGUUCGAUACUGCUCAGCUAGAGGAUCGGAGGGGAGAGCGGAAUUCUUGGUGUAGCAGUGAAAUGCGUAGAUAUCAAGAGGAACACCGGUGGCGAAAGCGGCUCUCUGGAAGAUUCCUGACUCUGAAACACGAAAGCUAGGGGAGCAAACGGGA
rnacentral:rRNA from 1 species